UCAAACUUGGUCAUUUAGAGGAAGUAAAAGUCGUAACAAGGUUUCCGUAGGUGAACCUGCGGAAGGAUCAUUAUUGAUUGAUAAAGGGAUGUGCUGGCAAAAAUACCACUUUGCAUUGUGCACUCCUGAAAUCUUCAUCCACUUGUGCACUUUGUAGACAAAGUCUGCUUUUUGGCUUUUGUCUAUGUUUUUAAUACACAUUCAUCAGUUAUCUAAUGUUUUGUGACUUAUUAGUCAAAUUUAAUACAACUUUCAACAACGGAUUUCUUGGUUCUCGCAUCGAUGAAGAACGCAGC
rnacentral:misc_RNA from 1 species